UUUGGGCAUGUUUUUUUGCAAAGUAAGAAGUAAUAUAGUAUGAGAGCAUUAAGUAUGCUUUUUAUUUGCUUGUAUAUAUAUAAGAGUACAUAAUAGUAAGAGUAAAACAUGUUGAUAGAUCAUAAGAUGUCGUGUGAUAUUGAAGAUACCGAUUCAUUAUGAUCAUUUAGUUGGAGGUGGAGGUGGAGGUGGAGAUGGAGGUGGAGGUGGAGAUAGAGAUGGAGGUGGAGGUGGAGGUGAAGAUGAAGGUCGAAUAGAACAAGUUCUUCGGCAUAAGGUUACUUCAUGAGAGCAGUUUGAACGACAUUUAUAAUCUUCAGGCGUUGAACAUUGUGAAAAGCAAUUGUAAAGUCCAGCGUCACAAGUAAAUUCACAUAUGAUAUAAUUAUCUUUUGGCGAUAAUGGUGUACUUGGUGAAAGUGCAGGCGCUGGUGGUGGUGGUGGUGGCAGUGGAGUUUCUGGCCUAUAACAAAUUCUUUGGCAUAUUCUGAUUUUAUUGGAGCAUGACACACGACAAAUGAAAAUAUCAAUGUUGUAUAUAUAACAAUCUGCCUCACAUGUAUAGUAUUGAGAUUCACAUAUAUAUAUGCAUUUAAGUAAAACAUCGUGUGCAGACAGUGGUGGAGAUGGUGAUUGUGGAGGCGGUGGUGGAGAUAGUGCUUGUGGAGGCGGUGGUGGAGAUAGUGCUUGUGGAGGCGGUGGUGGAGAUAGUGAUUGUGGAGGCGGUGGUGGAGAUAGUGAUUGUCGAAUUCCUUGUCCUGAGGCUGUUAGUAUGAACAUGGAAAUCACAGAAAGUACAACAAAAAAGGAGACAACACCGGAUCCAUGAGAAGCCAUGGAUGACCAGGAAGGGUAAAAUAGGUUAUCAAAGAUCUGAUUGUGUAUGAAUUGAUCGAUAAAGUUGAUGGAAAUAUUACUUUCUUUGAUAUGUUUAUAUAGACUCAUGUAUCGAUGUGAA
rnacentral:lncRNA from 1 species